rnacentral:lncRNA from 1 species
GUAUGUGUUCUCCAUGUAUGUGCAAGAGCCGAAGUAUAGUAUACGUUUAAGAAAAUCCGGCUAAAUUAUUUAGCUGGUAUUUAUGAUAUUGUUUCAAGUACGGUCUUAUAUGCUUUUUGUUUUAUUAAGUCUUUUUUCAUGUGUGCGGUUAAAAUCUUUACAUGCGUGUGUUAUUAUUGUAUGCCGUCUUUAAGAAUGAAACC